rnacentral:rRNA from 1 species
UGGGGAAUAUUGGACAAUGGGCGAAAGCCUGAUCCAGCCAUGCCGCGUGUGUGAAGAAGGUCUUCGGAUUGUACAGCACUUUAAGUUGGGAGGAAGGGCAGUAAGCGAAUACCUUGCUGUUUUGACGUUACCGACAGAAUAAGCACCGGCUAACUCUGUGCCAGCAGCCGCGGUAAUACAGAGGGUGCAAGCGUUAAUCGGAAUUACUGGGCGUAAAGCGCGCGUAGGUGGUUCGUUAAGUUGAAUGUGAAAGCCCCGGGCUCAACCUGGGAACUGCAUCCAAAACUGGCGAGCUAGAGUAGGGCAGAGGGGGGUGGAAUUUCCUGUGUAGCGGUGAAAUGCGUAGAUAUAGGAAGGAACACCAGUGGCGAAGGCGACCACCUGGGCUCAUACUGACACUGAGGUGCGAAAGCGUGGGGAGCAAACAGG